ensembl:lncRNA
CCUCAGGGCACAGGCUUGGGGAAGAUGCCACUGAGACCCAGGAGGUGGCUUCUGCCGUGGCUUAUUGUCAAUGCCUGACCCGGGCAGAUCACCGCAGAAAGAGCACUGCCUGGGACCCCGCUUCUGCCAGCAGCAGCUUGAAAUUUCAGAAGAAAGAGAAGAGGAAGAAGGUGGCAGAGCCCUGUGAGAGGGCAUUGGAGAACACAUUCUUGGUUUGCAGUUUGGUCACUGUGUAAACGUGAAUUGAGUAGAGCUUCAUGAGGUUGCACAGGAGCCUGAACUUCUGCUGGGAGCAUGGGAAAAGGCAAGAGGGGCCAAUGACCAAGAGAUGACCACUUCCAUAGGGGAAACUCUCUCUGACUGGGCACAAGAUAAAAGUCUGUGGAAGGAAAGAUGGAUCCAGCAAGAAGGUGUAAGCAAGAAUUCAAUCAAUGUGUGCUGAACAAAUAAUCCAGGUUUUUCAGCUCUCCAAUCAAAUUCAACAGAAAGUCAUUGACUACUUGCAGAUUGUAAG